GGAAACUGGGAUUAAUCCGUGAUAGGUCAUCUCACCUGGAAGGAGAGAUGGCUUAAAGGGGUGCGAGAGCUUCUUUCUCGUAUCCGCUCUAGGAUGGGACUGCGGCCGAUCAGGCUGUUGGUGGGGUAAUGGCCCACCAAACCUGUAACCGGUACGGGCCUUGAGAGAGGGGGCCCGGAGAUGGACACUGAGAGAAGGGUCCAGGUCCUACGGGGCGCAGCAGGCGCGAAACCUUCGCAAUGCGCGAAAGCGUGACGAGGUUAAUCCGAGUGGUCCCCGCUGAGGGGAUCUUUUGCCAGCUGUAAAAAGGCCGGUGAAUAAGGGGAGGGCAAGUCUGGUGUCAGCCGCCGCGGUAAUACCAGCUCCUCGAGUGGUCGGGGCGAUUAUUGGGCCUAAAGCAUCCGUAGCCUGUUCUGUAGGUCCUCUGUCAAAUCCCAACGGCUUAACCGUUGGCCCGCAGAGGAUACCGCAGGACUAGGAGGCGGGAAAGGUGGACGGUACUCCACGUGUAGGGGUAAAAAUCCUUUGAUCCGUGAAACA
rnacentral:rRNA from 1 species